rnacentral:rRNA from 1 species
UGGGGAAUAUUGGACAAUGGGGGCAACCCUGAUCCAGCCAUGCCGCGUGAGUGAUGAAGGCCUUAGGGUUGUAAAGCUCUUUCGGCGGGGACGAUAAUGACGGUACCCGCAGAAGAAGCCCCGGCUAACUUCGUGCCAGCAGCCGCGGUAAUACGAAGGGGGCUAGCGUUGUUCGGAUUCACUGGGCGUAAAGCGCACGUAGGCGGACCUGUAAGUCGGGGGUGAAAGCCCAGGGCUCAACCCUGGAACUGCCUUCGAUACUGCAGGUCUCGAGUGUGGGAGAGGUUGGUGGAACUCCGAGUGUAGAGGUGAAAUUCGUAGAUAUUCGGAAGAACACCAGUGGCGAAGGCGGCCAACUGGCCCAUUACUGACGCUGAGGUGCGAAAGCGUGGGGAGCAAA